GGGCGGGUAGUCUAGCGGUUAUGACGCCACACAAUAGGGCGAAGCUUACGACGUGGAGGUCCCAGGUUCAAAUCCUGGCCCGCCCACCA
rnacentral:tRNA from 1 species